AUUGAACGCUGGCGGCAUGCCUUACACAUGCAAGUCGAACGGUAACAGGUUAAGCUGACGAGUGGCGAACGGGGGAGUAAUAAAUCGGAACGUGCCCAGUCGUGGGGGAUAACUGCUCGUAAGAGCAGCUAAUACCGCAUACGAACUGAGGGUGAAAGCGGGGGAUCGCAAGACCUCGGGCGAUUGGAGCGGCCGAUAUCAGAUUAGGUAGUUGGUGGGGUAAAGGCCCACGAAGCCAACGAUCUGUAGCUGGUCUGAGAGGCAGACCAGACACACUGGGACUGAGACACGUCCCAGACUCCUACGGGAGGCAGCAGUGGGGAAUUUUGGACAAUGGGCGCAAGCCUGAUCCAGCCAUGCCGCGUGCGGGAAGAAGGCCUUCGGGUUGUAAACCGCUUUUGUCAGGGAAGAAAAGGUUCUGGUUAAUACCUGGGACUCAUGACGGUACCUGAGGAAUAAGCACCGGCUACCUACGUGCCAGCAGCCGCGGUAA
rnacentral:rRNA from 1 species